AAUAAGAUAGUAUAUAUUAUUAUAUUUAGUUUCGACCUAAAAGAAGGCAACUCUUAUUA
rnacentral:tRNA from 1 species